GUGCUCGCUUUGGCAGCACAUAUACUAGGAAAGAUUCAGAGAAGAUUAGCGUGGCCCCUGAGGAAGGAUGACACGCAAAUUCGUGAGGCAAUCCAUAUUUUU
ensembl:snRNA U6 U6 spliceosomal RNA